rnacentral:rRNA from 1 species
AACGAACGCUGGCGGCAUGCCUAACACAUGCAAGUCGAACGAGACCUUCGGGUCUAGUGGCGCACGGGUGCGUAACGCGUGGGAACCUGCCCUUAGGUUCGGAAUAACUCCCCGAAAGGGGUGCUAAUACCGGAUAAUGUCUUCGGACCAAAGAUUUAUCGCCUUUGGAUGGGCCCGCGUUGGAUUAGCUAGUUGGUAGGGUAAACGCCUACCAAGGCGACGAUCCAUAGCUGGUCUGAGAGGAUGAUCAGCAACACUGGGACUGAGACACGGCCCAGACUCCUACGGGAGGCAGCAGUGGGGAAUAUUGGACAAUGGGCGAAAGACUGAUCCAGCAAUGCCGCGUGAGUGAUGAAGGCGUUAGGGUUGUAAAGCUCUUUUACCCGGGAUGAUAAUGACAGUACCGGGAGAAUAAGCGCCGGCUAACUCCGUG